rnacentral:rRNA from 1 species
AUACGGAGGGUGCAAGCGUUGUCCGGAUUUAUUGGGUUUAAAGGGUGCGUAGGUGGUUUUUUAAGUCAGUGGUGAAAGCCUACAGCUUAACUGUAGAGGUGCCAUUGAAACUGGGGAACUUGAGUAUGGACGAGGUAGGCGGAAUUUGUGGUGUAGCGGUGAAAUGCAUAGAUACCACAAAGAACACCGAUAGCGAAGGCAGCUUACUAGGCCAUAACUGACACUGAGGCACGAAAGUGUGGGGAGCGAACAGGAUUAGAAACCCGAGUAGUCC